CCCGCUGAACUUAAGCAUAUCAAUAAGCGGAGGAAAAGAAACUAACCAGGAUUCCCCUAGUAACGGCGAGUGAAGCGGGAAGAGCUCAAAUUUGAAAUCUGGCGGUCUUUCGGCCGUCCGAGUUGUAGUCUGGAGAAGCGUCUUCCGCGCCGGACCGUGUACAAGUCUCUUGGAAUAGAGCGUCAUAGAGGGUGAGAAUCCCGUCUUUGACACGGACCGCCGGCGCUUUUGUGAUGCGCUCUCGAAGAGUCGAGUUGUUUGGGAAUGCAGCUCAAAACGGGUGGUAAAUUCCAUCUAAAGCUAAAUACAGGCGAAAGACCGAUAGCGAACAAGUACCGUGAGGGAAAGAUGAAAAGCACUUUGAAAAGAGAGUUAAACAGUACGUGAAAUUGUUGAAAGGGAAACGCUUGAAGUCAGUCGCGUCUCCCGGGACUCAGGCCUGCGUGUAUGCGCAGGGUGCACUUCCCGGGGCGACGGGCCAGCAUCGAUUUCGCCCGCCAGAGAAAGGCCCAAGGAAGGUGACAUCCUUUUUGCGAGGGGUGUGUUUAUAGCCUUGGGUCGCAUGUGGCGGGUUCCGGGAUCGAGGACAGCAGCAUGCCCCCUCUAGCAGGGGGGCCGGGGUCCGCCCACGUAACGUGCUUAGGAUGCUGGCGUAAUGGCUUCAAACGACCCGUCUUGAAACACGG
rnacentral:rRNA from 1 species